ACCUUGCUGACGAGUGCCAGAUAGCACGAGACCCGGGUCCAGGGU
rnacentral:hammerhead_ribozyme from 1 species